rnacentral:tRNA from 1 species
CGGGACAUAGCGCAGCUGGUAGCGUACUUGAAUGGGGUUCAAGAGGUCGUGGGUUCGAAUCCCGCUGUCCCGA